UACGGAGGGGGCUAGCGUUGUUCGGAAUUACUGGGCGUAAAGGGCCAGUAGGCGGCCAACUAAGUCGGAUGUGAAAUCCCCAGGCUUAACCUGGGAACUGCAUCCGAUACUGGAUGGCUUGAAUUCGGGAGAGGGAUGCAGAAUUCCAGGUGUAGCGGUGAAAUGCGUAGAUAUCAGGAGGAACACCAGCGGCGAAGGCGGCGCUCUGGGCCGGAACUGACGCUGAGGAGCGAAAGCGUGGGUAGCAAACAGG
rnacentral:rRNA from 1 species